GGCUCUGUGAUUACCUGCCCUAAUUGGGCGAUAUACGCUAUUCCGAUUCACAGAAUGAGCAGAUUAUUUUUUGAUCAAAUAUGAGAGCU
rfam:Morus notabilis contig5772, whole genome shotgun sequence.